AGUAAAAGAUAAAAAGACCUCCAUAACUUCACACACUGAAACCCUCUCCACAAUAUUUCCUACAAUCCCAAGGGCAAAAGCCGUAGUUCAAUGCUGUUACAGAGGCUUUAGAAACUAUACGAACUAUGAGCAUUUUGCAUUUGAAGUCUUCGAUGGUUCCGUGGCUUAGUCUUUGAUCUUCCAGGGCAGAGUAUUCCUAUGGCUUCUUCUUCAAUUUACAGUAGAACUAUUCUAUUUUGGCACUUCUAUGACUAAGGGGAGGAUGAGGAUAGUGAUGAAAGUGAUGAAAGUGAUAGUGACAAUGAUGGACAUGAUGUGGCUAGUAUGCAGCAAGACGAUGAUAUGCAUGGUUUAAUAGAAGAAGGUUAUCCAUAAGAUCCAAAUGGAGAUGCUCACAAGUUUUACAAAUUGUUAGAAGAGGCAGAACAACCAUUGUACGCUAGUUGUGAGUCGUAUUCUAAUUUGCCUUUUGUUGUGAACCUGAUGCAUAUCAAGGGUAUUUGUACUAUGAACAAUAAAGCAUUUGGUAUGUUGCUAACAUUGUUGAAAAAUGCAUUUCAUUUU